AUGUCAAAAAUGAUAGAAAUUCUGAGUCCUAUGAAGGAUCAAAAUUGGGGAGCAGCGAUUCCUCGAGACAUCGAUUCUCGAUCUCAGCGGGCCGUCGCAAGGACGAGCUCAGAGCAGACGGGCGAAUGGGAGAGAGGACAAGCGAGCGUGGUCGGGCUCAAGUCCCUUGGAACUCUGCCGUCUUCAGUGGCCGAUAGCGGACUCGCGGAGAAUGUAAACGAUUCCCGUUUGAGGAAUUUGGUGUCUGACUAUGAUUACGACGAGGAAUCAGAGACAGAACCUGAUUCGCAAGAAAAUCACACCGAUUCGAAGCGCGCCAAAGUGACAACAGGCUUGACGGACCCUGAAGCGUCAGAGACCGAAGAGGCGGAGACCGGAAAGAAGGAGAUCGAAGGGAUGGAGACUGGAGAUGUGGAGACCGGAACGAGGGAGAUUGAACAGAAGGAGACCGAAGACAAGGAGAGCAAAGAGAAGGAGAGCGGCGAGAAGGAGAACGGAGAGAAGGAGACUGAAGGGAUGGAGACUGAAGAUGUGGAGACCGGAGAGAAGGAGACCGAAGCGACGGAGACCGAAGCGACGGAGACUGAACCGACGGAGACCGAAACAGGCUCCGAAGCAACGGAGUCCGAACCGGGAGAGACCAAACGGAGAGACGGACGACAGGAACGGAACGACUUCCUCGAUUUGGUCUAGGACCCGCUCGGCGACUAUGAUAUUCGCCCCGCUCAACGGUAUCAUUCUAGGGAUCUGCCUUUGGGCAUUCUGCUGCAACGAAGCCAAUGCAAUAAGAUGAUCGGAGCUCAACUCCAGUUCGUGUUCCUGGGCGUGGUGGCCUUCAUCGCUCUCGAAGGAAUCCUCCUCAUUCACGCGUCAUUUUCACGAGCAGCCCCAUCGAUGUCUUCAUUCUAUGUGGUCUCAGGAUAUGCAUUCACAUUCCUGCUCGCAGCAGCAGGGUUCGCGAAAGUCGGCGAUCAUUACGUACAAGCUGAGCAGCUGUGCAUUCUGGAUUUCGACAUAGGCUCGGGUUGGCUGUUGCUCGGCCCCGUGAUCCUCAUGGUCGCCGUCAAUAUCGGAGCCGUUCUCGUCAGUGAGCUGCGUAUCUCAUACCUCUACGAGAAUACUGCUCACUUCCCACCGCAUCUGAAGCGAAGGGCUCGUAUGAUACGAUCGCUCUGCGUAACAACAUCCCUCGUCGGUCUCCAGUGGACUUCUGCAUCUCUUAUCCAGAAGGCAGAAAGCGUCUUCUCGGUGCUCUUCUUGCUACUGAAUUUCAUCACGAGCAUUGCCAUACUAAUCAACCACGUCGCUUGCGACCGAGAAGUCCGCGCGAAUAUCGCCCGAGUUCUCGGGAGCCGCGGAAAAACUGCUCGGAAAUUGGCGAAUAUCGUGCGGCCGCCACCCCUGGAGAUCGAAGGUUUGAGCCAAAGAGUCAGCUACCACGCACCGCCGAAGAUCAGCGAUACUCUACGGUCGACCCUUGAUCGCGGUAUCCGACCCUCUAUCCAUCUGAUCACACCACUUGACCACAUCUCCGUCACCAAAUAG